UUUCGAAAUUAAUAUUUAUUAAUAUUUACAAAUUUAGCAAUAUUUCGUGUAUUUCACUAUGAUUUGUAAGUUACGGAUAAUUUGGACAAUCGUUUUAUAUUUUGAAAGUAAUGGAUAUAUUUCAAUCUGGUGAAAAGCCAAUAUAGAUAUUGACCAAUGGGACAAGUGGGAGUUAAACUCAAGUCCAACGCUGGUCAUCCAAGAGCAAAGCUCUGAUACAACAUUAAGAGCCUACAAAAACUAUAAAGAAAACUAACUCAAAGAAACUAAUGUCCGAAAAUAAGUUUAUUUUGGUCUAAAAAACAAUAACCUACAUAACCAAACCAAAGUACUCUGGCUGAAUGGUCCCUUCCGGUUCGGACCGCCAACGAGUUUGCCAAAGGGAUCUCCUACCACUGAAUAAGUGUGGUUUAAGGUUUAGGCACUGGGCCAGCUGUCGCUGAGAAAACAAGAAACCUCCCGCUAGAAGCACAUAAGCUCACAACGAGGGAAGCAUGUUCAGUCUGCCUCUGCCCCUUCUCGAAAACUGGAUUCAAAAACCGGAUCACAACCUUAUGCUUGCUUCCGCCACGUGCGCCAUCUCAACAAGACGUCGGCUUAGCACCUUCGCUCUUCCACGAACCAGGUUCAAAGCCACAACCCAAACCUUGAUCCCAACUAUGAUGAAAUUUCUACCUAUGACUACGAUGUCAUAUGCCACCCCCUGCAGGCUGAGACCAAGGUCGCCACUGCCCUCUAACACAAAACCUUAGGUUUCAAUUUGCUAAGCUCCGAAGAAGGAGCGAAUUGACUAUAGAUGGAUACUUUAGGAGUAACUAAAUUGAGGAUAAGUUGGACAAUUGUCAUCCAAUUUUCUAAAACAUAUCCUUUUAAGUAAUAUUCUACCAAAUUAUAUUAAAGAAUAUAGAAUCAUUAACUUGUAAUACUAUCUAACUUAUUUGUAUCAUAUAUUCAUCACCACUUGGGUGAUCAUAUAGUUUGGUUGAACCAAACAUAUAAUUACAUAUUAAGGACUGCAAUUUUUAAAACGUUGGCCCAAAUUGUAUGAGUGCAAAGCACCUAAUAAAAAU
rnacentral:lncRNA from 1 species